UCCUUAGAUUAAUCACAACGAUGAAAUCCUUUGUGGACUCCUCAUCAUCUCCACAUGAAGAAAUCCUUCUGCUGUUGUGAGUUCUUCCAGAGCAACACGAGCACCUUCUCCCAGUGCUGCAAGCUCCAGUGCCACCAGAAAUGAAUCAUCAGUCACGGUUCCCACUCAUGUACCCCUCAUCACCUCUUCCUACCUUGAGAUCACUUCCAGCAUCUUCUCUGCCUGUGAUAUCUGGGAAGAGGCUGAAGCCCUGGCCAGGAAGAACAAGGAGCUUUUUGCUGAACUCAGCGCAGCGGCAGGCAGUCUGGCUCUGAACAGCAGCAUGAGGGAGCUGGUCCGCUACACUAGACAGGCUUUACGGUGGCUGAGACGGGAGACUAAUACACCCU